GACGAACGCUGGCGGCGUGCUUAACACAUGCAAGUCGAACGGAAAGGCCCUGCUUUUGUGGGGUGCUCGAGUGGCGAACGGGUGAGUAACACGUGAGUAACCUGCCCUUGACUUUGGGAUAACUUCAGGAAACUGGGGCUAAUACCGGAUAGGAGCUCCUGCUGCAUGGUGGGGGUUGGAAAGUUUCGGCGGUUGGGGAUGGACUCGCGGCUUACCAGCUUGUUGGUGGGGUAGUGGCUUACCAAGGCUUUGACGGGUAGCCGGCCUGAGAGGGUGACCGGCCACAUUGGGACUGAGAUACGGCCCAGACUCCUACGGGAGGCAGCAGUGGGGAAUAUUGCACAAUGGGCGGAAGCCUGAUGCAGCAACGCCGCGUGCGGGAUGACGGCCUUCGGGUUGUAAACCGCUUUCGCCUGUGACGAAGCGUGAGUGACGGUAAUGGGUAAAGAAGCACCGGCUAACUACGCG
rnacentral:rRNA from 1 species